UACGUAGGGUGCGAGCGUUAAUCGGAAUUACUGGGCGUAAAGCGUGCGUAGGCGGUUCGCUGUGUCCGAUGUGAAAGCCCCGGGCUUAACCUGGGAAUGGCAUUGGAAACUGGCGGGCUUGAGUGCGGCAGAGGGGGGUGGAAUUCCGCGUGUAGCAGUGAAAUGCGCAGAUAUCAGGAAGAACACCUAUGGCGAAGGCAGCUCUCUGGGACGGUACUGACGCUGAGACGCGAAAGCGUGGGGAGCGAACAGG
rnacentral:rRNA from 1 species